rnacentral:rRNA from 1 species
GCCGUGCUCACAAAACGCCAUGGCAGGUUCAAGUUUUAAUAGUGGUACAUCUGAAACUGCGAAGAGCUCAUUCAAAAGUUCUAGUUCAUUUUGAUUGACGGACUACAUCGGAUAACCGUAGUAAUUCCUAGAGCUAAUACAUGGCUGUAAGCCUGACUUUUCGGGAAAGGGUGUAUUUAUUAGAUCCCAAACCAAUAGUUUUCGACUAUUGUGACGACUCAUAAUAACUGGGUCGGAUCGGGUAUUACUCGAUGGAUCAUUCAAGUUUUCUGCCCUAUCAGCUUUUCGAUGAUAGUGUAUUUGGACUAUCAUGGCGAUAACGGGUAACGGGGAAUUAGGGUUCGAUUCCGGAGAGGGAGCCUGAGAAACGGCUACCACUUCUAAGGAAGGCAGCAGGCGCGUAAAUUACCCAAUCCUGAUUCAGGGAGGUAGUGACAAGAAAUAUUAACAGAAGGGCUUUGCCUUAUCUGAUUAAAAUGAGGACAAUCUAAUAGACCUUA